rnacentral:rRNA from 1 species
GAUGAACGCUGGCGGCGUGCCUAAUACAUGCAAGUCGAGCGAACAGACGAGGAGCUUGCUCCUCUGACGUUAGCGGCGGACGGGUGAGUAACACGUGGAUAACCUACCUAUAAGACUGGGAUAACUUCGGGAAACCGGAGCUAAUACCGGAUAAUAUAUUGAACCGCAUGGUUCAAUAGUGAAAGACGGUUUUGCUGUCACUUAUAGAUGGAUCCGCGCCGCAUUAGCUAGUUGGUAAGGUAACGGCUUACCAAGGCAACGCUGCGUAGCCGACCUGAGAGGGUGAUCGGCCACACUGGAACUGAGACACGGUCCAGACUCCUACGGGAGGCAGCAGUAGGGAAUCUUCCGCAAUGGGCGAAAGCUUGACGGAGCAACGCCGCGUGAGUGAUGAAGGUCUUCGGAUCGUAAAACUCUGUUAUUAGGGAAGAACAAAUGUGUAAGUAACUAUGCACGUCUUGACGGUACCUAAUCAGAAAGCCACGGCUAACUACGUG